ACCAGACUCCUACGGGAGGCAGCAGUGGGGAAUAUUGCACAAUGGGCGCAAGACUGAUGCAGCAACGCCGCGUGAGCGAAGAAGGUCUUCGGAUCGUAAAGCUCUGUCCUUGAGGAAGAAGGAAGUGACGGUACUCAAGGAGGAAGCCCCGGCUAACUACGUGCCAGCAGCCGCGGUAAUACGGAGGGUGCGAGCGUUAAUCGGAAUUACUGGGCGUAAAGCGCUCGUAGGCGGUAUGUCAAGUCAAGGGUGAAAUCCCCUCGCUCAACGUGGGAACUGCCUUUGAAACUGGCAAACUGGAGUGUGUGAGAGGAUAGUGGAAUUCCAGGUGUAGGAGUGAAAUCCGUAGAUAUCUGGAGGAACAUCAGUGGCGAAGGCGACUAUCUGGCACAUAACUGACGCUGAGGAGCUAAAGCGUGGGUAGCAAACAGGAUUAGAUACCCGCGUAGC
rnacentral:rRNA from 1 species